UUUGAGUACCUAAUCAUCAUAUCUCUCUCUCUCUCUCUUUUUUUUCUUUCUCAAAGCCUCUCAAAGGCUGAAAAAAUAGGGUUAGGGUUUAUAGUGUUAGGUAUGAUGAUGAUGAAGUAGAAAAGUUUUAUAUAUUGUGUGUGGUGAGUUUGAGGGGGAUGUUGUUUGGCUCGACACAAUUACUCUCUUGUAUGUGUUUAUUUAUUCGUCAUCAAGAUUGAUGUUGAUAACGAAUAAAUUAAACACAACAAGAUAUGUAAAAAGGGAGUAAAGGCGUCGGACCAGGCUUCAUUCCUCUCAAACAAUAUUCUACUUCUACACAAAAACACUUGUGUGUUUGGUCGGUUUUUCUCUACCAAGCUAGGGUUUUCUUCCAAGAAAAAAACAUGAAAAUUAUUACAUAUAUAUGCCCUUGUAAUUUUUUAUUUUUUUGUAGUAGAUUUAUUUUUCAUCACCUUGAAAUUAAGUCACUGAUCUUAAUGUUAGAGAAGGUGCUGUUUGUUUUCCAGGGAGGGUUAGACACAGAGAUUAUGUAUUUUGGUAGCUAAUUAAAAAUUAUGGUGACAAAUGUACUCUUUUAGUAAUUAAUUGUUAGAUCUUUUUAUGUAAUCAGCAGUGAUGCUAAUUAGUGACUCUGUAACUGUAUUCAUAUUCAUAUAUAUAUUAUUUUUGUUUAUUCUUGUUAUA